UUUUGUCCCCCACGAACAAAUUUUUAUUUUUCAGUUAAUGUUAUUUAAUUAUGUUUUUAAUUUUGUGUGUUUAAUAAAUUUUUGGUUGAAUGAGUGGCAAACCCUUCUAGAUUGGUUGCUCCUCAAGAAGUACCCAAUGAAGGUGCAUCCGAGCUUGGAUGGCAAUGAUAAGAAUAACAAGUGAAUGAAGCCAAGGUACAUGGUUACCGUCGGCUAGAAUUUUAGAAUGCAUUAGGAACUUUACUCUUUUUGGUAAAUUGAAUAUUGUCUUUGUGCAACAUAAUUGAAUGAAUGUUUCAUCUAGAACUUAAAACCACAAAUUGUGAGGAAACCUCCAUUGUUCACUUAAAUGCUGGAUUCUAAUAAGUUUUGUUGAUUCAUGUGAUUCAUUAUUUGUCUUUUAUUAUUGUGAAAUUGUGGAAGCAAUUAGAAAUGAUCAAGGCACUUGUUUUCUUUCGAGCACAACUACAUCCAAAAACAACUUACCUGUGAGCAGAGAGAGUAUUUGUUAACCCCUUUGAGCCUAAACAGUUGAAUCUCGGCUUGAAAUAAAGCGAGAUCUCAAAAAUCUUUUUUUUACAACCCGGAAAAUAUUGAUUAUUGUUCUUUUGCCGUAAAAAGUUAAGAGCAUUCACUUAGGGUGUGGAAGAAAUAAGUUGGGGAGAACGAAAAAGAAUUGGUAAGUACCACAACUCUUGAAAAAGAAAAGAAAAACCGAGCAAGCAUAGAAAAAUAUAUGUAUAGAAAAUAUAGAAAAGA
rnacentral:lncRNA from 1 species